GGCUGGUCUGAUGGUAGUGAGUUAUCAGAAUUUAUUAAAAUUAUUAGUGUCACUGAAGUUAGUAUGUAACCCCCCACUAUUAAAUCUAACUACUUUUUU
ensembl:misc_RNA Y_RNA Y RNA